rnacentral:misc_RNA from 1 species
CGCAUCUUGCGCUCUCGGGUUAUUCCUGGGAGCAUGCUUGUUGGAGUAACGGAAACGCUCAACCCCGUCCUCAUCUUCGGAUCUGGAUUGUUUUAGGGUUAGGAUCGUGACGCUUUGUUGUCCUCGUCGACAACUGCGUUGAAAUACAAAGAGCCGAAUAACCUUCAGUGUUACUACGAAGCUUUGAACUAUUGUUGUAAACCAAUUUCAAUAGCCUUUCUUAUGCUUUUGCGCUGUCGAUUUAUCUUAAAGUAGGCUUACCACAAACUACAAACUGUUUUUAUAGCUUGUUCUCCAAUCAAGUAGGACUACCCGCUGAACUUAA